rnacentral:rRNA from 1 species
CCUACGGGAGGCAGCAGUGAGGAAUAUUGGUCAAUGGACGCAAGUCUGAACCAGCCAUGCCGCGUGCAGGAAGACGGCUCUAUGAGUUGUAACCUGCUUUUGUACGAGGGUAAACGCAGAUACGCGUAUCUGUCUGACAGUAUCGUACGAAUAAGGAUCGGCUAACUCCGUGCCAGCAGCCGCGGUAAUACGAAGGAUUCAAGCGUUAUCCGGAUUUAUUGGGUUUAAAGGGUGCGUAGGCGGUCUGAUAAGUUAGAGGUGAAAUCCCGAGGCUCAACUUCGGAAUUGCCUCUGAUACUGUUCGGCUAGAGUGUAGUAGAGGUAGGCGGAAUGUAUGGUGUAGCGGUGAAAUGCUUAGAGAUCAGAAAGAACACCGAUGGCGAAGGCAGCUUACCAAGCUACUUCUGACGGUGAGGCACGAAAGCGUGGGGAGCAAACAGGAUUAGAUACCCGGGUAGUC